AUGGAUCGGUUGAAGAAGAAGGUCAAACAAAAGACAAGCCCGUCUGCCCGAGAGGGGCUGAUCCAGGUCGAACCCAGUGAACUCCGCUUCCCCUUUCUACCAAAUGCGAUGCUGUCUGCUUCGUUCUCAAUUAAGGUUGUCAAUGUCACGGAUAACUACGUCGUUUUUGUUACAAGGCCUAUGGGCGCAGAUGUGGCAAGGUACACAACCUAUCCGGACGGAGGAAUCCUGCCACCAAGGUCUACACAGGAAUUUCUUGUAAGAAAACAACGAAGAAGUCCGUUACACAAAGCAUCGAGUGCGAUGACAAGUACAUCGAGUGCGGUGACAAGUACAUUCUUUGCAGCACGAUUGUGA
rnacentral:rRNA from 1 species